rnacentral:lncRNA from 1 species
AAUAGCAUUCUGUAGCGAUAUAAUAAACUGUUCAAUUAUGCAGUGCAGACAGUUGGGGACCGGGAUGGUAUAUAACGUGCUAAUUGUGCAGAACAGACAAUGAGAGGCCGGGACAGGCUCUAAUAGGCUAAUUAUGUGCUGUAGACAAUUGGUACAAAAGGAGCCCAGGAAAAGAAACCCGGGGAAGAAGUGGAUGUGGGCUGGUGGGGGCAGCUGUUUAUGUAAAGCAGCAUCUGGGCUUGAAAAGAAAACCAAACCUUGUUGAAAAUCCUACCCUUAGCUGCCCCUGCGCCAUUCUCACUGGACACCAGUGGCGGUGUAGUGAAGUGGAGGCCUUUGUGUGGGUCUGAGAACACCUAGGCACCCGGUACUGCAGAGUGCGGACUCUGGAGCCAGGCUCCCUGGGCUCCCAUCCCAUAUCUGGCCCUUGCUGGCUCUGUGGCCUUCGGCAAAACAGAUGACCGCCUGUACCUCUGUUUCUUUAGCUGUGAAAUGGAGGAGCAGGGUGGGUAAUCCUAGCACCCACCCAGCAGAGUUGUGAGGGUUAAAGGAAUCAAUACACCCACAGGGCCUCACACCCUGGUAGGGAUGUAGUAAAGUGGUCAGUAAGUUUUCACCACUGCAGCUGCCGGUGUUGUUCACAAGCAAGGAAAAUGGCUGCAGGCUUCAAAGCCCAGAGAUUCCAGAAGAAGCUACUGCCUCUUCCUCGACCAUUUGAUGAGCCUCCCACAGGCACUCUUCGUCUCCCAGCACCCGAAUCUCAUCUACAAGUGAGGGGGCUGGGCUAGGUCAGCCUUCCUCACACUUGAGCGCUGGAUGACCCUGAGAAAGGGAAAGGGUGCUGCCUUGACUUAGUUGAGUCUAAUAUUGUUUAAUAUGUACAAACGUAAACCUAGAUGUAAAGGCCUCGGCUUCUGGCUCUAAUACGGCUAUGAAGCCAGAAUGGAACAGAAAGUCAUUACAAAUGAAAUGCGAACAACGCCACUACACCACAAAUCAUGGGAACGUUCAGAUUUUUUUAACCCAAAUUAAAAUUUCAUCCUUUUCUUCUCUUUUGGUCCAGGAUAAUCAAAGUCCAUUGGCUUAGCCCCAGCUUGCUUGUAAAUGUAAACCCAGACCAGGCACUGAAGCUGCCAAGAGUGAAGACCGAGAGGCCUGGCUGCCAGCCCUGACCUGGCCCAACCUGGAGGACUGGGGCCAGUGGCUGGGCCUCGCGGGGCUUCCUCUCUGCACCUGAUCCAGGAUGAGGUGGUUGGGUUAGAUGACUCUCCAAGCUCCUUUCUGGCCAGAGACAUGAAGGGAACAAGCACAGAGAUGAGAAGCAGACAGGAUUGCCCGAGUAAUUAGCCCUAUGGCCUGUGAACUUCCUCUCCCCUCUCUCCACUGCAGAUCUUUGGUUUCAUGGCCACCUUCCUCUGCAUGGCAAGCAUAUGGCUGUCCUAUAAGAUCUCGUGUGUAACCCAGUCCACAGAUGCAGCCGUCUGAUGAGGCCACAACCCCUAGGCCCCUCAGGAGCUUUGCAGAGAGGAGGACGUGUACUCCAGGCGAGGCCUCUGGACCUGUGUUCCUGUGCCAAAGUCCUGUCAGGCUGGUGGGCACCAGGAAAGGCCUGCACCCUCUUCCUGCUCUCCCAGGAAGCCAGCUCCCUGAGCUCCUGAGCCAGCCGGAAACUCUUCCUCCAGCCUUCCGGGGAGAACAUCCCUCCCAUUCUGGGAAAGGAAAGCAGCCUCCAGGGAAAUGUUUUCUGCCUUCCUGCUUCUAGAACCACCUCAGGUACUGAUGAACCCCACUUAGCACAGCUGAAGGGGUUUGUGAAUACUCCCGCCUAAAUCCCUUCUACUUCACUCCUCAGGGGAGUGAAGUGCCUUAAGAAACAAAGCCCUGUCCUAAUUUAUCUAGCUUGUCAGUCCGGUCUUAGAGAUACCCUCUUUCCUGAAGUGAGGCGUGCCUGUAGAAACACUAUGUGGUCAGCCUGUCCCCAAGGAGAUCUUGUGUCUCCUCUCCAUCUCUGCCUUUGUUACCAGUGUGCAUGUGUUUGUGUGUUUUUUAAUAAAAUAUUGACUCGG